CAAGGUGGAAAGAAUUUGGAAAGAAUACGAUUUUCCAAAAUCGGAGGUGGUUUUGAAAAAUUAAGAUUAACAACUUUUUAAGCACUAUUUUUAAAAUUUAUUAAUCAAAAUCUCAUCAGAGAUCGUAAAAGACCAAUUGAAAAAUCUUGCUAAUAUAACGAGCAACCUAUGUUCAUUUAUAUUGCCCGAUAUAAAAUGUUGAAUACCACACA
rnacentral:lncRNA from 1 species